rnacentral:lncRNA from 1 species
GCGUGCCCAGUAGGGCUGGGACCUUGUACUGAGCCCCUGUGGACUUUCUAGUUGUGCGGCCUCCCAGGUGAUACUCCAGGAGACGCUACUGCGCCUGGCAUCUGUCAUCAUUUGCAGAGAACGAGCCUGUAGCUGUGUGGGACUCAGGGAGGCCUCAGGACAGUGAGUAGUACAGCAGAGAUCUGAAUCCAGCACUGUCUGCUCGCAACCACCAGGCCAUGCUCUUUCUUUCGCCCACCACCUCUCCCCCAGGAAAGAGCCAGCAGAUCAGGAUCUCCCUGCUACUCACACUGUGAAGACGGAAGCGAGAGAGAGCCACUUUGCGUGUGGCUGGCUUCAGAAGUCAGAACAGGCUGGGGAGGUUCCUAAGUGACUGCACUGGAGCUUCUGAGCCUACUCUGGCUUAGGAGGCUGGCUGAUUCAUGACUCAUUAAUUGCGCAGUUAGACUCCUUUAAAUUUAAUUUGGCUGAAGUUUUUCUUUUAUCAACGGUCACCUGGCUCCAAGGGCUACCAGUCCAGCAGGUGCAGAUGACAGUGGCCCUAGGCAUAAAGCAUCGGCUGAGCAAGAGACUGCUGAGGACAUUUCAGGUGUGACAUUAUUAGUAACAGGUCGUGGAGCUGCUUCCUCCAAACUACCAUCAUGAAACACAGUUUAAAAACCCAUGCCUGAGGGAAGGCCGAAUUAUCUUUUUCUUUUCUUUGGAAGAGUAAUUUUAUAAAAUCAUUAUUACAUGAAGAGGUGAUCACAGAGUAUGGGUCAGAAAUGUUAAAAUAUAGGAAAAAAAUGUGUCAGUAUCAUAGAGGUGUGUAAG